GACGAACGCUGGCGGCGUGCCUAAUACAUGCAAGUAGAACGCUGAAGCGGGAAGCUUGUUCUCUUUGGGUGAGCGGCGAACGGGUGAGUAACGCGUAGGUCACCUGCCUUGUAGCGGGGGGUGACUACGGAAAGCGACUGAUAAUAACACAUAACACUAGCUGACAGAGGAAACAGAGUAGAUUGGGACAUUUGCCCCACGAAAAGGGCGACGUGCGAUGUGUUAGUUAGUUGGGGAGGUAAGCGCUCACCCAGGCGACGAUACAUAGCCGGGCUGGGAGGGUGAUCGGCCACCCUUGGACUGGGGCCCGGCCCAGGCUUCUACGGGAGGCCGCCGUAGGGGAUCUUCGGCCAUGGGGGGAAACCUGACCGAGCAACGCCGCGUGAGUGGAGGAGGGUUUCGGAUCGUUAAGCUCUGUUGUAAGUCAAGGACGAGUGUGAGAGUGGAAAGUUCACACUGUGACGGUACCUUACCAGAAAGCGCCGGCUAACUACGUG
rnacentral:rRNA from 1 species